rnacentral:tRNA from 1 species
AUUUCUAUGGUGUAAAACACAUUACAUUUUCAAUGUAAAGCUGACUAAAGUCUAGAAAUC